rnacentral:rRNA from 1 species
UCGGCUAGGGGGCCAUCCCGGCUUACCAACCCGAUGCAAACUGCGAAUACCGGAGAAUGUUAUCACGGGAGACACACGGCGGGUGCUAACGUCCGUCGUGAAGAGGGAAACAACCCAGACCGCCAGCUAAGGUCCCAAAGUCAUGGUUAAGUGGGAAACGAUGUGGGAAGGCCCAGACAGCCAGGAUGUUGGCUUAGAAGCAGCCAUCAUUUAAAGAAAGCGUAAUAGAAGGUGGCCUGUGAGGGUUGCUGGAGGUAUCAGAAGUGCGAAUGCUGACAUAAGUAACGAUAAAGCGGGUGAAAAGCCCGCUCGCCGGAAGACCAAGGGUUCCUGUCCAACGUUAAUCGGGGCAGGGUGAGUCGACCCCUAAGGCGAGGCCGAAAGGCGUAGUCGAUGGGAAACGGGUUAAUAUUCCCGUACUUGGUGUUACUGCGAAGGGGGGACGGAGAAGGCUAUGUUGGCCGGGCGACGGUUGUCCCGGUUUAAGCGUGUAGGUGUGUGUUCCAGGUAAAUCCGGUUCACUUUAACACUGAGGCGUGACGACGAGGCACUACGGUGCUGAAGCAACAAAUGCCCUGCUUCCAGGAAAAGCCUCUAAGCAUCAGGUAACACGAAAUCGUACCCCAAACCGACACAGGUGGUCAGGUAGAGAAUACCAAGGCGCUUGAGAGAACUCGGGUGAAGGAACUAGGCAAAAUGGUGCCGUAACUUCGGGAGAAGGCACGCUGACACGUAGGUGAAGUGAUUUACUCAUGGAGCUGAAGUCAGUCGAAGAUACCAGCUGGCUGCAACUGUUUAUUAAAAACACAGCACUGUGCAAACACGAAAGUGGACGUAUACGGUGUGACGCCUGCCCGGUGCCGGAAGGUUAAUUGAUGGGGUCAGCGCAAGCGAAGCUCCUGAUCGAAGCCCCGGUAAACGGCGGCCGUAACUAUAACGGUCCUAAGGUAGCGAAAUUCCUUGUCGGGUAAGUUCCGACCUGCACGAAUGGCGUAAUGAUGGCCAGGCUGUCUCCACCCGAGACUCAGUGAAAUUGAACUCGCUGUGAAGAUGCAGUGUACCCGCGGCAAGACGGAAAGACCCCGUGAACCUUUACUAUAGCUUGACACUGAACAUUGAGCCUUGAUGUGUAGGAUAGGUGGGAGGCUUUGAAGCGUGGACGCCAGUCUGCGUGGAGCCGACCUUGAAAUACCACCCUUUAAUGUUUGAUGUUCUAACGUGGACCCGUUACCCGGGUUGCGGACAGUGUCUGGUGGGUAGUUUGACUGGGGCGGUCUCCUCCUAAAGAGUAACGGAGGAGCACGAAGGUUGGCUAAUCCUGGUCGGACAUCAGGAGGUUAGUGCAAUGGCAUAAGCCAGCUUGACUGCGAGCGUGACGGCGCGAGCAGGUGCGAAAGCAGGUCAUAGUGAUCCGGUGGUUCUGAAUGGAAGGGCCAUCGCUCAACGGAUAAAAGGUACUCCGGGGAUAACAGGCUGAUACCGCCCAAGAGUUCAUAUCGACGGCGGUGUUUGGCACCUCGAUGUCGGCUCAUCACAUCCUGGGGCUGAAGUAGGUCCCAAGGGUAUGGCUGUUCGCCAUUUAAAGUGGUACGCGAGCUGGGUUUAGAACGUCGUGAGACAGUUCGGUCCCUAUCUGCCGUGGGCGCUGGAGAACUGAGGGGGGCUGCUCCUAGUACGAGAGGACCGGAGUGGACGCAUCACUGGUGUUCGGGUUGUCAUGCCAAUGGCACUGCCCGGUAGCUAAAUGCGGAAGAGAUAAGUGCUGAAAGCAUCUAAGCACGAAACUUGCCCCGAGAUGAGUUCU